CCCAGUGCCCCAGCCAGCCGCCCCUCUGCAAAGUGGCAUACGAGGAGUUACUGGACGACCGGAAACUGGAAGUCACCCAGACGACAGACCCCUCCCACCAGAUGGAGGGGGGUAACAUCGCUCUGGCAAUCUUCCUGCCAAUCAUCCUGGUCAUUCUCCUGAUUGGCGGCAUUUACGUCUAUUACACCAAGUUCCAGGGCAAGUCCCUGUUCGGCUUCUCCUUCUCCAGCGCCCACAGCUACCGGCCCAUCACCGUGGAGUCCGACUUCAGCAACCCGCUCUACGAGGCUGGGGU